GUGCUCCAAAUUCCAUCCAAAUUAACUUUUUUGUUGUUGUUGUCUUUUGUUUUCCUCCAAGCCAGUAAGAGCAGUUAAAAGCCUUGAAAAUGGAUGUGCAGAUUUGGGGGAUUACUCCUGUUGUCCUUUGCCCCUAAUGAAGGAGAAAUUCCAGUGAGAAUGCUCCCUCGCUCAUUUUACAAAUGAAAAAAGAAUUGAAGCAAAUGAGGUUAAAUGCUUUCUCCUGGAUCAAACAACUAAUAGGAGUUAUCUAGGUGCCUCAGUGGAUGGAGAACCAGACCUAGAGAUGAGAGGUUCUGGAUCCAAAUUUGGCCUCAGACACAGUAUUGAUUGUAAGAUAGAAGCUACCAAAAGGAUACCAAGUGGGAAGAAAAAUGAGACAAAAUUUGGAAGAUAACAGCAUCAAAUGGGAAUUAUUAAUCCCCUUGGUUUAGAGACAAAGGAAAAGAAAGAUGUCUUCAUGGAGGAGGUGAUGCCUUUAUCUCAAUCAAAAAGCAUAUAUUGAAUACCAAUUAUGUUUCAGGCCCUGCACUAAAUGCUGUAUAUAAAGAAAUGGGAAAAAACCUUAUCUUCUAGUAGCUCAGAAUCUAAUAAAAAACUCAAAUAGAAAUGGAUGCCA
rnacentral:lncRNA from 1 species